AAGAACGGUAGACAAAGUUGAACAAUUUGAAUUUAAUUGUCAAACUACAAUGAUCAAGACAUUUCAUGAUGCCUACCACAUGUUGAUCACACCACAUACUGUGCAAUGUUCAUGUCCCUUUUUUCCCAUCAUAACUUGUUUUAUGUGUCUGGAGAAUUCUUGUAAUAUUGUAUUUUUUUGCACAUACUCCUCAGUGCUCCAGCACUCUUUUAAAUAAAUCUGUAUGGUUUAGUUUGUUAGUGUGUACAUGAAUUCUUACUAUUUUUCUUUCUUUCGUUUACUGUCCAGAUGCUAAAGGAAUUUCUUUGCUCUGCUGAGGCUGAAGUGAGAUCCCUGGCCUCGCUUUAUUCUGGGGUGGUAUGUCGUGACUUUGGCUUAACGCAUAAAUUUUAUUCUUACAUACCAU
rnacentral:lncRNA from 1 species